rnacentral:rRNA from 1 species
AGGAUGAACGCUGGCGGUAUGCUUUACACAUGCAAGUCGAACGCAAGUUUUUAACUUGAGUGGCUGACGGGUGAGUAACACGUGAGAAUUCGCCUUUAGGCGGGGAAUAACCAUCGGAAACAAUGGCUAAUGCCCCAUAUGCUCGUAAGAGUGAAAGGAGUAAUCCACCCAGAGAGAAGCUCGCGGCUGAUUAGCUAGUUGGUAAGGUAAUGGCUUACCAAGGCGACGAUCAGUAGCUGGUUUGAGAGAACGAUCAGCCACACUGGAACUGAGACACGGUCCAGACUCCUACGGGAGGCAGCAGUGGGGAAUUUUCCGCAAUGGGCGAAAGCCUGACGGAGCAAUACCGCGUGAGGGAUGAAGGCCUUUGGGUUGUAAACCUCUUUUAUCAAGGAGGAAGUUCUGACGUGUACUUGAUGAAUAAGCAUCGGCUAACUCCGCGCCAGCAGCCGC